GUUGCUUCCUACUGGUGAACUCUCCCUUGUAAUUAGUGGGAGAAAUUCAUGUUUCCGAAGCAUAAAUUAAUUGAUGUAAUUACCAGUAUUAAACAGCACGGUGCUUUGUUUCCAGCACCGUGUUACCUGUCUCCUGGUACAUCC
rnacentral:snoRNA from 13 species